GACGAACGCUGGCGGCGUGCUUAACACAUGCAAGUCGAACGGAAAGGCCCUGCUUUUGUGGGGUGCUCGAGUGGCGAACGGGUGAGUAACACGUGAGUAACCUGCCCUUGACUUUGGGAUAACUUCAGGAAACUGGGGCUAAUACCGGAUAGGAGCUCCUGCUGCAUGGUGGGGGUUGGAAAGUUUCGGCGGUUGGGGAUGGACUCGCGGCUUAUCAGCUUGUUGGUGGGGUAGUGGCUUACCAAGGCUUUGACGGGUAGCCGGCCUGAGAGGGUGACCGGCCACAUUGGGACUGAGAUACGGCCAAGAAUCCUACGGGAGGCAGCAGUGGGGAAUAUUGCACAAUGGGCGGAAGCCUGAUGCAGCAACGCCGCGUGCGGGAUGACGGCCUUCGGGUUGUAAACCGCUUUCGCCUGUGACGAAGCGUGAGUGACGGUAAUGGGUAAAGAAGCACCGGCUAACUACGUG
rnacentral:rRNA from 1 species